GCCUGGAGAUGGGAAGGCUGGUCUGCAGCUUCACCGACCUCAGUCGUUGGGGCCCAUGGCUUGUGGUGUUAGCUAUCACGUUGAAGUUUGUGGUUCAGCCUUUGGCUGACAUGUCCUGGGCGACUCCUCGGUCGGAGAUGCAGACAUGCGUGCAUGCUUUUGAUGGCAAGGUACUAGUACUAGAUGGUCUGCAUGAUAUUCAUGGCAAGGACUGAUCCAGGUUAACUCGUGAUGCAAUAUUGGAGUAUAGAAGGGUCCAGAAGAUGGUAAUGUAUACCUUGAAGAUGACAAGGCUUUCCAGAUGGUCCGGA